AACGAACGCUGGCGGCAUGCCUAACACAUGCAAGUCGAACGAGACCUUCGGGCCUCGUGGCGCACGGGUGCGUAACGCGUGGGAACCUGCCCUUAGGUUCGGAAUAACUCCCCGAAAGGGGUGCUCAUACCGGAUAAUGUCUUCGGACCAAAGAUCUAUCGCCUUUGGAUGGGCCCGCGUUGGAUUAGCUAGUUGGUAGGGUAAAAGCCUACCAAGGCGACGAUCCAUAGCUGGUCUGAGAGGAUGAUCAGCCACACUGGGACUGAGACACGGCCCAGACUCCUACGGGAGGCAGCAGUGGGUAAUAUUGGACAAUGGGCGAAAGCCUGAUCCAGCAAGGCCGCGUGAGUGAUGAAGGCCUUAGGGUUGUAAAGCUCUUUUACCCGGGAUGAUAAUGACAGUACCGGGAGAAUAAGCUCCGGCUAACUCCGUG
rnacentral:rRNA from 1 species